AUGAGGUCUAUUAGGUUUCUUUACUCGGUUGCCAAAUAGAGUCUUCCUGCCAUCUCACAAAGCAAGAACUCAGAACCCUCUAAUCCGAACAGAUGCGCACGACUCUUCAGUGCUCCCAAAGACCAACCAGGAAGGGAGAACUCCAGUUCUUCCUCCAGAGCCCCGAGGCUGCUGGCUCAAGCUGGCCUCAGUCCUUCUCCUGGUUUCUGUCCCCAGCUCCCCACCACCAGAAGGAUAAGAAUCACUCCACUGAGGGCAACACUGAACAGAGUCUCACAGGGACAGGAUUCAACGCAUUCAACAGGUCACUCUCAACACUUGUUUCUACAACAUCCGGGUACCACCCAUGCUAUGAGCUGCUUCUUGCUAAUUUAAACACACUUCUUGUAACUGUAACUCUUCUACUGUUGCCUCAAGAGAACAGCCAGUAUCACUUCCUAUAAAUUAAAAGAAACCCUAAAAAUACACUCAAGA
rnacentral:lncRNA from 1 species